rnacentral:rRNA from 1 species
GGACGAACGCUGGCGGCGUGCCUAAUACAUGCAAGUCGAACGCAUUUUCUUUCACCGUAGCUUGCUACACCGAAAGAAAAUGAGUGGCGAACGGGUGAGUAACACGUGGGUAACCUGCCCAUCAGCGGGGGAUAACACUUGGAAACAGGUGCUAAUACCGCAUAAUUCCAUUUACCGCAUGGUAGAUGGGUGAAAGGCGCUUUUGCGUCACUGAUGGAUGGACCCGCGGUGCAUUAGCUAGUUGGUGGGGUAACGGCCUACCAAGGCUGCGAUGCAUAGCCGACCUGAGAGGGUGAUCGGCCACACUGGGACUGAGACACGGCCCAGACUCCUACGGGAGGCAGCAGUAGGGAAUCUUCGGCAAUGGACGCAAGUCUGACCGAGCAACGCCGCGUGAGUGAAGAAGGUUUUCGGAUCGUAAAACUCUGUUGUUAGAGAAGAACAAGGAUGAGAGUGGAAAGUUCAUCCCUUGACGGUAUCUAACCAGAAAGCCACGGCUAACUACGUG